UACGAAGGGGGCGAGCGUUGUUCGGAUUUACUGGGCGUAAGGGCGCGCAGGCCGCGCAUUUUGUCAGGCGUGAAAGCCCCGGGCUUAACCUGGGAACUGCGUUUGAUACGGAUGGGCUAGAGUUCGGGAGAGGAGAGUGGAAUUCCCAGUGUAGAGGUGAAAUUCGUAGAUAUUGGGAAGAACACCGGUGGCGAAGGCGGCUCUCUGGCCCGGUUCUGACGCUGAGGCGCGAAAGCGUGGGGAGCAAACAGG
rnacentral:rRNA from 1 species